AUAGAUCAAUGUAGUUUUUAUUAUUUCAAUAUAAUAAUUGCUCAUGUGUUAUUUAAGAUGAAUAUAAUAGGUCACUGUUAAUAACAAAAUUGUUCACUAAUCAUAAUAACUUAUAUUUAUUAAUCUAAGUGAAAAAAGAAAAUUAGAAAAGAAAGUUGGCUAUCUUUUUGAGACAGAGAGGGUAUAUAUCUAUAUGUAUUAUAUAAUCCGAUCGAUAUACCUAUCAAAACUGAAUUCCUCCCUGAAUAUUUUAAAAAUGUACAUUACAUAUUUAAGAAUUAUCUUCAUUAUUCAUCAAACUUAAUUUUAAAAUUAUAGCAAACAAAUACAUAAAGAGUACACAUUUAUUGGCAACAAUCCAAAAAAGUUACACACAAACCACAAACCUAAUUAUUAAAGACCUUACAUUACAAGAACAACAUACAACUUUAUUAUUGAUCACCAUAGGCAAGCAAAGGGACAUAAACAAGAUUAUCUCCUUUAAAGAAAUGACAAACAGGAAUAGUUCCAGGUUUAAUUCCAAGCACACGAAACGAUGCAUGAUUAUGACUCCAUUGAGAAGUAUCCAUAUGACAAACAGCAACAGCUUCUACUCUUCCUCCAUUUUCACCUUUCAGUGAAAGCACAAACACUUUAUUCUCAGUCUGUUGGCUAUGGCAAUAGAACACCGUAUAUGCAUACGGCAUCGUAUGGCAAGCCACCAUCUUUGGAACGGGUAUCUCCUUAGGUUCUUGCAUUAUUGUAUAAUUAUCUAAAUGGGUCUUUGAUUUUAUAAGAUGUGUGGUUGUUAAAAUCUUGAAUUUUGUCUCUAAUCCAAAAGUUUCGCGUACAAAAUCAACCAUCGACUCUAAAGAAGUAGCACAAAUUUUUGUUUCUCCUUUGAUGGGUUUAAGUUCACAUUCUUUUAGAGUAUUUUCCAUGGCUAUGGCUUGAGGAGAGUUUGGAGAGAUGGAAAAUAAUUUAAGGAGGUAAGGAAAGUCUUUGUAUGAAAAAGGAAUGGAAUCUGCUUCUGCUUUAUGUAACAUAGGUGGAGUAGAUGAAGAAUCUUUCAUAGGAAAAUAAAUCGGCAUUUUCUUGCCUAUUUUGAGAUCAUCUAAAGUGAAAAAGAUCAUCAUUGAUGGAUCCAAGUGAUCCAUAUGAGAUGAUGAUGGACUUGCCUGUGCAUGAUCACUCGGAAGUCUCAAAACAUUGUUGCUCUUAGUUAUCAUCUCUCUUGCUCCCUCACUUCCAUGAGAACUCUGCAAAUUAUUUUAAUGAGCUAUUAAUGUAUUAUAAAUGGAAGUAAUGAAUUAAUUAUGCAGUGAAGCGUUUAAAUAGAUUUAAUUACCAGAACUAGAAGAAGAUGAAGGAGGAAGAUCUUGAUUGGAAAAUGUAUGCCCAUGGUUCUUUGAUCCUUUUUGCUCAGUGUAUUAUCUGUUCAAAUUUAGUGCUUCUUCUUCUACUUGAAAGAGAGAAACUUGAGAAAGGUCGACUAGAUCUUUUUCUCUCUCAUACAUUAUUUAUUUAUAAUUGAGAAACUUCUCAAUCAUAUUUUAUUAACGGCGGUGAUAAUUUCGUUUUUUUAUAAAAAAGUUAUUUCUAAAUUUCCAUAUAUAUAACCUUAAGUUUUUCUUGAAUUUCUAAAUAUAUUAGAUUUUGUUAUAUGUUAUUGAUAUUUUUCAAAAUUUUAAAGACAAAUCUUAUAAAGAGCAAGGAAUAAAUGUGAGAGUUCCACAAAACAGUUAUUACAUUUCUUUUUAUUCUAUUCUGCAAAUCAAAUAAGGCUUUAAGAUAGUUGAUACUGAGUUUGUGCUUUGUUCUUAUUCCAUCCAUUUGGAUUUUGUACACUCAAACAUAAUGUUUCUUUUUUCUUUUUUUAAAUUUCUCAUAUGUUAUGUAUAUAUUUAAAGAAAAAAAAAGGUAUAAUACUGACAAAUUGGUUUAGCUCUAAAGUAAUGUAAAUUCUCAAUAAUUAAGUUUUUCAUUUUUUUAAAAUUAUGGGUAUCUCUAUUUCAUUAAUUAAUGUUAUAGUGACAUGUAAACUGAAAUUUAAUUAUCUAAUUCUCACUGUAUAUAAAAUGUGAGAAACGAUUAACCAAUGAUAAAUAUAUAGUUAAUAAUACAAUGAUAGAUUAAUUAAUAUUGACAUAGUACAUAUACAAAUAGUAUUUUAUUAAUGAAAAAUGUAUAAAAAAUAGACAGAAAUAUAUAACAGUGUAACAUACGCAAAAAACAUAGAGAUAAAAAAAUUAUGUAUUUCUGAAAAUACAUGGAGCAAAUUUGUAUUUUAUGGCAUAAAAGCAUAAAUUUCCCAACAAUGUAUGUAUAAUACUCUUAUAUGUGUUUUUUUUUUUGCAAGUAGGCAAAAGGCCAAAGUUAAUAAUUAGACUCUUUUGUCAUUGUACAACUAAUGGAUUUUGGUAUCAGGCCCAUCAUCAGGUUUUUUUUUUUUUUUUUUUUUUUUUUUUAAUUUAUUUGUCAUCUAUAUCUUUUUUUCACAUCUGAUCCAUUACAAUUUUGAAUAUAUUCAAUAUUGGUUUAUUAUGCAAAAUAAACUAAUUAUAAGCCAAAUGCAUAAAUAUAUUCCUCCAUACUAAAAAAAGAUUUACACCUCAUAUUUUACAAAGAUUGUUUUACGCCUAAAAUUAUAAAUUUUAAUAAUAUUGUACAUAAUUAUACAUUAGUAAUAAUAGGUUUUUGGUACUUUUCGAUUUUGUAUACAGAAUAUUAAUCUGAAGUAUGAUUAUUACAAUUUUAGAAUAAUAAUUUUAAUAUUUUUCAACUAUUAAAUAAGUAUUCAAUUGAUCAAACUUUACAAGUUAGAAUGUCCAAUCAAAAAAUGCUGUAAAUUAAAGUGCUUAAUAGGUAUAAUUUUAUAAAUUAAAGUGUUCUAAAGAUAAAAUUAAAAUUUAAAAGUUUGAAAUUUUUUUUAUAUAAAGUUCAUUUAGCCUUAAUUAAAUAAUCAUACAUCAGUAAGAAUUGAAUUUGAGAUAUUGACUCAAUCACUUGGCUAACAGGCAUUUAGUUGAACUGUUUGUACCAACUGAUAUCGGAUGUUUAUAAUUGCUAGUUGGUGUUGAUAGUUAUUAAUUGAGAAUGUAUAAUUUUUUUAUAUUACUCUCAUAGACAAUAUAUGUUAUUUUUUUAAGGUAAAUAUAUUAUUUUUUUAUUUUAACAAAAUCGUACAUCUGUGCAUUGCUCAGAUUAUAGUAUAAUCUUUUAGUGAAAAUAUUAAAUACUUUAUUUAUUAAUAAUUUAUGAUAUAAUUACUCUCCUAAAAAAUAAUUUAUUUUGUCAUUCUAGCAUGGUAACCUUGCAUCUUUGCGGAUUUAAAUGAUAAUCUAGUUCUUUGCAUUGAAACCCAAAAUAAUCACGUGAAAGGAUAAAAAAAAAAAAAAAAAAAUUUUUUGAAAAGGUUGUUUGCUUGGGGAUUUCAUUUCCCUGUCACUGUAUUCUAUUUUUGCUUUUGGUUUUCAGUAUUUCAUACCCUUUUUUGGUUUGUAAAUUUGGUUUAUUGUUGUAGAUCAACAUUUUCUUUUUCUGGUUGAAAAUUGAUGAAAUCUAUGUGUUUCUCCAAUUAUUACAUGGUUAGCAAUAGCAACUUAGCAAACAGAGCAAUCCAUGUUAGUAAAUAAUUAGCUAGCUUUCUAAAUAUUUCAAGAAUAAAAUGAUAUAUAUUUCAAUAUUUAUUUUGCAUUCCCAAUUCUAAAGAUAAAACUAAAGUGAUGCAAACAUAUAUAGAAACAUAUGAUGCAAGAGAAACUUCUUACAUAGCUUAAACACACAAAGUCCGUUAUUCAAGUACAUCACAAAUCAUAUUCUAAUUUGAAAUGCAACAAACAUAAUGGUUCUCUCAUGAGGGAAAUGCAAUAGCUUGUCUUCAUUAAUUACUCUGGUAAACUAAAACGUCUGGCCCAUCAUUGGAAAAUGUCUUCUUUGCUUUGAGAGCUACAUCAUCAUGGUAAAUCGAACCGUCAUUUUUUGUCUCAAAAUAUGGCGUUUGUUCUUUAAGUGUAACAUCAUUGUGAUAUAUAGAUAGAUCAAGCCUCGGAUCAAACUCCUUUUUGAGACCUGCAUCAUUAUGGUGAUUUGUAAAAUCAUGUUUUGUCUCAAAAUAUAGCUUAUGUGCUUCAAGAUUGGCAUGGUUGUGGUUUUCAGUUGUGCGACAAUCGGCUUUCUCUUUUGUGGAGGUAGAAGCUUCAACGAGUGCUUGUAAUGCUUCUGGCAGUGGCUGAUCUUUCAUUUCCCUACUCCAAUAUUCACCCACAUCUUUUCUUGCAUUGACAGUGCUUGAGAACUGCAAAAUAAAAAUAAUAAAACUCACUCGUCAGUUUAUUUAAGAAAAAUAAAACUUAUAUCAUUAAUGGGUUUCAAUUAGCUAAUCUUCAUUGAUCCAUUAAUGUAUUUAAACACACAUACACAUUAAGAACAGACUUUUUUCUUUUUUUUUUUUUUUUUUUUUGAAAUUUCAUUACUAAUUAACAGACUAUUACUAACCAAGAUAAGUAAGAAGAUAGAGAGGAAAGCAAAAAGCAAUUUCAUCUUUUUUGCAGAGAAGAAAUUAGACAAUGUGUAGUGUUAUUUGAGUGGAUAUCCGUCGUCCCUGAUAUCGUCACUAUUUAUAGCCAAAAUCAAAGAAUGCAAAAAUAUAAAGAAAUUAUUAUGUAAGGUGCAAAUAAGGUGACCUCUCAUUUCAUAUUGUCCUUCUUGUCGUAAUACGACAAAUAAAUAUCAUAAUCUUGGGAGGUACCCAAAUCGUGUAUUAGGUACCCAAAUAACAUACGACGUAAUUACUAUAUGUAAUCUCUAGGUUUUAUUCAAAUAUACUAAUAAAACUUUAGUUUCUAAAAUUAUACUACGAAGUCUUUACAUUAUAAUUUCGUUACACUAUAGAGUCUAAUUAUUAGUUUUUUCGUUAAGUGACUGUAAAAUAUUAAAAGCACCCCUAAACAUAAUUAGUAUAUAAUCCUUACUAUUAGGUGAAAUACACUAAUAAAGACAUUAUUUUUCAUACCUUUACAUUAUUUAAUCCCUAUAUAUAGUAAUUGUGUUUAGGGUUAUUUUUAAUAUUCCACAACAAUUUAAUAAAAAAAAAACUAACCGCUGGACCUUAUAGUAUAAUAGAAUUAUAAUGCUGAGAUUAAAUAGUGUAAUUUUAAAAAUGAAAGUCUUUACUAAUGUAUUUGAUAUAAACCUAGGAACUAUAUAGUAAUUAACACAUAACAUAAUCUUAGGCUAAUUACUGUUUAGUCUUAUAUUAUAAUCAAAUAUAUAAAUUAGGAAUUUAGUUUUUUCAAAAUUCUAUUUUUUUUUCCUACCCUAAAACUUUUGCGAGUACAAGAUUAGUACAUUAUGAAUACUGGAAUAGAUUUGAGGUCAUUAAAAAGUACAAUUUUAUAAAUUAAAGUAUUCUAACAGGUAGAAGUGAACUUUAAAGGUUUGAAAUAUAUAUAUAUAUAUAUAUUUAAACAUCAGUAAAAAUUGAAUUUAAGAUAUUUUGAUUCCAAAACUCAACGCUUUAAUCACUUGGCUAAAAUACAUUUAGUUUAACUGUUUGUACUUGCUGAUAUCGGUUGUUUAUAAUUGCUAGUUCGUGGCUGAUAGUUAUUAAUUGAUAAUGUAUAGUUUUUUUUAUAUUACUCUCAUAUACAAUAUAUGUUAUUUUUUAAGGUAAAUAUAUUAUUUUUUUUAUUUUAACAAAAUCAUACACCUGUGCAUUGCUCAAAUUAUAGUAUAGUCUUUUAUUGAAAAUAUUAAAUACUUUAUUUAUUAAUAAUUUAUGAUAUAAUUACACUCCUAAAAAAUAAUUUAUUUUGUCAUUCUAGCAUGGUAACUUUGCAUCUUUGCGGAUUUAAAUGAUAAUCUAGUUCUUUGCAUUUAACCCCAAAAUAAUCACAUGAAAAGGAAAAAAAAAAAAAAAAUCUUUUGAAAAGGUUGUUUGCUUGUGGAUUUCAUUUCCCUCUGUAUUCUAUUUUUGCUUUUGGUUUUCAGUAUUUCAUACCCUUUUUUGGUUUGUAAAUUUGGUUUAUUGUUGUAGAUCAACAUUUUCUUUUUCUGGUUGAAAAUUGAUGAAAUCUAUGUGUUUCUCCAAUAUUACAUGGUUAGCAAUAGCAACUUAGCAUACAGAGCAAUCCAUGUUAGUAAAUAAUUAGCUAGCUUUCUAAAUAUUUCAAGAAUAAAAUCAUAUAUUUUCAAUAUUUAUUUUGCAUUCCCAAUUCUAAAGAUACAACUAAAGUGAUGCAAACAUAUAUAGAAACAUAUGAUGCAAGAGAAACUGCUUACAUAGCUUCAACACACGAAGUCCGUUAUUCAAGUACAUCACAAAUCAUAUUCUAAUUUGAAAUGCAACAAACAUAAUGGUUCUCUCAUGAGGGAAAUGCAAUAGCUUGUCUUUAUUAAUUACUCUGGUAAAUUAACAUGUCUGGCCUAUCAUUGGAAAAUGUCUUCUUUGCUUUGAGAGCUACAUCAUCAUGGUAAAUUGAAGCGUCAUUUUUUGUCUCAAAAUAUGGCGUUUGUUCUUUGAGUGUGACAUCAUUUUGAUAUAUAGACAGAUCAAGCCUCGGAUCAAACUCCUUUUUGAGACCUGCAUCAUUAUGGUGAUUUGUAAAAUCAUUUUUUGUCUCAAAAUAUAGCUUAUGUGCUUUAAGUGUGGCAUGGUUGUGGUUUUCAGUUGUGCGAAAAUCGGCUUUGUCUUUUGUGGAGGUAGAAGCUUCAACAAGUGCUUGUAAUGCUUCUGGCGGUGGCUGAUCUUUCAUUUCCCUACUCCAAUAUUCACCCACAUCUUUUCUUGCAUUGACAGUGCUUGAG
rnacentral:lncRNA from 1 species